rnacentral:rRNA from 1 species
UGGGGAAUUUUGGGCAAUGGGGGAAACCCUGACCCAGCAACGCCGCGUGAAGGAUGAAGUAUUUCGGUAUGUAAACUUCGAAAGAAUAGGAAGAAUAAAUGACGGUACUAUUUAUAAGGUCCGGCUAACUACGUGCCAGCAGCCGCGGUAAUACGUAGGGACCAAGCGUUGUUCGGAUUUACUGGGCGUAAAGGGCGCGUAGGCGGCAUGACAAGUCACUUGUGAAAUCUCUGGGCUUAACCCAGAACGGCCAAGUGAUACUGUCGCGCUAGAGUGCAGAAGGGGCAAUCGGAAUUCUUGGUGUAGCGGUGAAAUGCGUAGAUAUCAAGAGGAACACCUGAGGUGAAGACGGGUUGCUGGGCUGACACUGACGCUGAGGCGCGAAAGCCAGGGGAGCAAACGGGAUUAGAUACCCCGGUAGUCCCUGAGCGGGCUGGCAAGGCGCAU